rnacentral:siRNA from 1 species
ACACUCAUCCAUGUGUCUACUCGA